GACAGAGGUUCCGAGCGUUAGGCGGAAUCACUGGGCUUAAAGCGUGUGUAGGCGGACCGUUAAGUACCUUGUGAAAUCCCCCGGCUCAACCGGGGAACGGCUGGGUAUACUGGCGGUCUUGAGCCAUCCAGGGGCAGUCGGAACAGACGGUGGAGCGGUGAAAUGCGUAGAUAUCGUCUGGAACGCCGAAGGUGAAAACAGACUGCUGGGGAUGAGCUGACGCUGAGACACGAAAGCCAGGGGAGCGAACGGG
rnacentral:rRNA from 1 species